UGGCUCAGGACGAACGCUGGCGGCGUGCUUAACACAUGCAAGUCGAACGGAAAGGCCCUGCUUGCAGGGUGCUCGAGUGGCGAACGGGUGAGUAACACGUGGGUGAUCUGCCCCGUACUUUGGGAUAAGCCUGGGAAACUGGGUCUAAUACUGGAUAGGACCAUGCUGUAGGUGGUGUGGUGGAAAGAUUUUUUCGGUAAGGGAUGAGCUCGCGGCCUAUCAGCUUGUUGGUGGGGUAAUGGCCUACCAAGGCGUCGACGGGUAGCCGGCCUGAGAGGGUGGACGGCCACAUUGGGACUGAGAUACGGCCCAGACUCCUACGGGAGGCAGCAGUGGGGAAUAUUGCACAAUGGGCGCAAGCCUGAUGCAGCGACGCCGCGUGGGGGAUGACGGCCUUCGGGUUGUAAACUCCUUUCAGCCAUGACGAAGCCUCUUUUGGGGUGACGGUAGUGGUAGAAGAAGCACCGGCUAACUACGUGCCAGCAGCCGCGGUAAUACGUAGGGUGCGAGCGUUGUCCGGAAUUACUGGGCGUAAAGAGCUCGUAGGUGGUCUGUCGCGUCAUUUGUGAAAGCCCGGGGCUUAACUCCGGGUUGGCAGGUGAUACGGGCAUGACUGGAGUACUGUAGGGGAGACUGGAAUUCCUGGUGUAGCGGCGAAAUGCGCAGAUAUCAGGAGGAACACCGGUGGCGAAGGCGGUCUCUGGGCAGUAACU
rnacentral:rRNA from 1 species